rnacentral:rRNA from 1 species
CGGUUUGGUAAGUCAGAUGUGAAAUCCCGGGGCUCAACCCCGGAACUGCAUCCGAUACUGCCAGACUAGAGGACUGGAGAGGUGACUGGAAUUCUCGGUGUAGCAGUGAAAUGCGUAGAGAUCGAGAGGAACACUCGUGGCGAAGGCGAGUCACUGGACAGUAUCUGACGCUGAGGCACGAAGGCCAGGGUAGCGAAAGGGAUUAGAUACCCCUGUAGUCCUGGCAGUAAACGGUGUGCGCUUGGUGUGAGGGGAUUCGACCCCCCUUGUGCCGGAGCCAACGCGUUAAGCGCACCGCCUGGGAAGUACGGCCGCAAGGCUAAAACUCAAAGAAAUUGACGGGGACCCGCACAAGCGGUGGAGUAUGUGGCUUAAUUCGAUGCAACGCGAAGAACCUUACCAAGGCUUGACAUGCAUCUCUAAUCGCGUGAAAGCGCGUGACCCUUCGGGGAAUUUGCACAGGUGCUGCAUGGCCGUCGUCAGCUCGUGUCGUGAGAUGUUGGGUUAAGUCCCGCAACGAGCGCAACCCUUGUCUCAUGUUGCCAGCGGGUAAUGCCGGGGACUCGUGAGAGACUGCCGGGGUCAACUCGGAGGAAGGUGGGAAUGACGUCAAGUCAUCAUGCCCCUUAUGUCCAGGGCUUCACACAUGCUACAAUGGCCGGUACAAAGGGCUGCGAAGCCGUGAGGUGGAGCGAAUCCUUUAAAGCCGGUCUCAGUUCGGAUCGGGGUCUGCAACUCGACCCCGUGAAGUUGGAGUCGCUAGU